AACGUUGGAUGCUAAGAAAACAUGCGCGAAGUAGAAUGGAAAGUCAUUUCCCAGAAACUUGGAUGCAACUCAUGUGACUUAAACGCAACUGGAAAAACCAGUAGACCAAUCUCACUGCACACCAUUGCAAAAAAUCCCCCAAAAUUCGGUGAUAUAACCACCUUCCCAGAACUGUCUUAUACGACUGCGUUCCCAAACGCCAUGAAACCGAACGCAAGUGUUCCUGUGCGAUGUGUGUGGAGCGACGGCGAUUAAAGGAAGGAGGUUUCUAUGUCACAGCCAUCAGGAAAGUUACCACAUUAACUGAUGUCGACACCUUUUUCGCAAAGCGUUACCAAACGUACCGACCCCAAUCUUCGGACAUUAAUUGAGCCACGCUUCCUUGAACCAUUGAGCCACGGCAGAAUGGGUAAAUCAUCACUGAACACUUACACAAGCUAUCAAAUGACUUCAGAAGACUUGGAUUAUAGUGCAUGAGCCAUAUGGACAACUCAAACUAUCCGGUUACUACAAUAUUUUCAGGUCCAUUUAACAACCCAACAAAGCAGCUAAGUGAUUUCCCCCGAACGAUGCGUAUGACGGACAGGAGGAGUAUGGGAAUGAAACGGGGUGAGAAUUCAGGGCACACAGAAGCCAUUCUUCAGCCUUUGCUGUGAGUCAGCAGAAAUCUGAGCCGGCAACGAGUCUGACCCAAUUUUACCACACCAGAACCACCGAGAACAAUACACCGCGGUGAUGAAUUAAAACCCAUUCAGCAUUCUUCAACUGGCACGCAGCAGAUGAAACGUCAAAUGAGUGGAACAAAGCCAUCUUCA